CCAAGAAUUAAUGGUGGCAGCUUAAUCAAUGGUGGCAGCUUGCAGACUAACCCAGAAACCGCUCAGAAUAUUUGGAAAGUGGGGACGAGGCUGUGGUGCUUUGUUAAGAGCACUAUACACUGAGACCAACUCAAAGAACGCCAACACGGACCUUCACGAAGCUGAGAAGGGCAUCGGUAAAGAUCCACAAAUAUUGAACAACACCGAAGCAGGGAUAAUAUUCUGAUAAGGACAGUAUCAACGAGUUGUACUUUUAUGUUUGUCCUUAUUUAGUUAUUAGUUAUCCCCUUCCUCCCGAAAGGAUUAGGGACGAGCAAAAGGUACUAAGAAAAAGCGAGAGAACAGAAGUCAGGAAUUCAAUGGGACCCUGGACAAAAUACUUAAGAUUCCUGCCUCAGUUUUCAGACCCAUUAAAUGUCUGAGAGAAGUGCACACCCAGGCCCUUUCUUUAGAAUCUGCUAUCUGUAAAGAGCACUCCACACUUUCAUGGCUGACCCCAUAAUCCAGAGAGUUUGCCUUGACUUGGCUUUGAAGACAAACAAUUCAAUUCUCAUUCUGGUCAAAGCCAGACUCAGAAUCUGGUGAUUCAUUUACAGGAUGUCCUCGCCUCCGAGGUAAAUGUUAACACAAUAUUUUAGGUAAGAUUUACAUGCUAAUAUUAGAAAAGGUAACAUCGACUGCCUUCAUUAACCUGUAGCCAAGGAAACUAAUACUGGAGAACAAUUACCAGAACUCAAAAAAAAGUUUAAUUAUAGCCACCCUUCUAAUCAGGAGGAAGCAGUCUAGACAUCUCUGUGUAAACCUGGAAGCAAAGGAGCAGAAUCCACUUUACCGCAUUCCUUUGGUUUAAUUUCUCCAGUCUCCAGAAUGGGCUCUCUCCUGGCUUUAUAAAAGUGGCUCCAUUUUAAGGUCUCUGCGGUGCAAACCACACAACAUGGACCUCCUCCCAAAGGGCAGGUAUCCAGGCAGGUGGAGGGACCAAAACUGGAGCAGCUGGCUCUGGCACUUGGAAGCAGAUGGAAGUAUUGCAAUGUUCAUACCCCUGCAAAGAGUGUCUUCUGCCCAGUCAAAACCGAGGAAAACAGAUCCGAAAACAGAUCAAGCUUGCUGAGAUCCCUAAAACAUAAAGGACCUUCAGAGACAGAACCACCAGAAAAGAAGGUUUGGAUCAUCUACCUGAUAAAGAGAUGCUUGCUGAAGGCGGAGGGAGGAGGAAAUGAGUAGGAAAGCAAGACCAUUAAUCCCAAUGCAGCCUCUUGAAGAGUUCACAGACAUGAGGUCUGCAACUCAAUCUGUGUUCCCCAUGUGAAUUUUACAGGUCAAACCUGGAUCACAAGGAGGGAGUUGUCAAACUAGCCUGGAGCCCAUGUUUAGAGCGAGGAACUGGAUUGCGGAAGAAUUUGGAAACCGUCCGGUGAACAAAAGAUGAAGAUGAACUAACUGGUGAUGUUUUAUAUAGAGAAAGAAGAAGAUUCAGGGCAUGUCCUGCCGUUAUUUUCCAGUAUUUGAGGCCUAGGAAAGCAGAGGAAAUGUGUUUUGUCAUCCCGAGGAAAUAGAAUGAAACCAGCAGGUGAAACCUCCGUGAAGGAAAAUUUUGUCUGAUUUUAAAGAACUUUCUAGCAGUCACAGCUGUUCAAAGAAAGAGCUGCUACCGGAGGUGGUGAGCAUCCUGUCUCUCGAAACUUAAAUAUAGAUCAUUUGGGAUUGAAAAAGAGAUUCAGCACUGGACGUGUAUUUGUACUAAGAGGCAGAAAGACCCCUGCGCCUCUUUCAUAGAAGUCAAUGAGGCUGUGCGGGUUCCUCUUCAUUCGCCUCCGCAUUCACAUCCACUCUCCGUCCUGCUCUGUCCUGGAAAGCUAGCUUUGGUGGAUGACAUCAUCUGGCUCCCGGGAUCUCUGGAGUUCAUCCACGCUUGGCCACCGGACAGUUCAGAGAAGUGAUCGGGGACGGGAGGGGGCGGGGAGAGUGAAGAGGCUGUCCCCGUGGAGCCGAAGGGUUCUGGCAGUCCUUCUACCUCUCCCCUCAGCCUCCCCUCACAGGGAGGCCCCGUGCCUUUGGCUCCAUCAAUCAGACAGUGACGUCAGAGCAUUCGCCCUCCCUCGCCCCUGCUCCCUCGAGCCCAGGGAUGCUGACGGCUUCUCAAUGAAGCCAGUCACACAACACCCGCCACAACCUCAGCGGAGUCUCGGAAUUCCUGUGAGUUUUUAAGAGUUCCUCCCAUCAAGAAGUAGUGGUUUUUUGCCUUCUGCCCUCAAACCGGGUCCAGCUGGGCCUGUCGGGGUGACCAACAGGAAUUAAGAGAAAUCAAUGCACAGGACCUCAAGGGCCUUAGGGCUCCCCUGCUCACUGUCGGGAAUGCUGACCCAAGCGAGCUGUAGAGUCUGCUGGGCUGCAAGAGCCCGUUGAAAGAGGGCCCAGCAUCUCAGUCAAGCUGACCCCAGACUGGCCAGCCAAUGCACCCAUCAGCUGAGAGCAGCUGCUUGGGUCACCAGGCAUAGACCCACAGAAGAACCACCAAGGCAACCCACAGAACCCAUGGUUCUAAGGCCAUGGUUGUUGUUCUAAUUCCCAAAUAUGGAGGGAGCUUUGUUAUUCAGUGAAAAGAUAACUGAGCCAACUCUGGCUCAGUGAUCCAGAAUUAUCUCCAAGUGUGCUGCCCGGUUCUCGCUGUGACCCAGACUGGCUCAAAGUUCUGUGGAAGGAACCUGGCUGUGGCCUGGAGGUGUUUCUCCACUCUCUCCACUUUGACCCUACCAAGGCUGAAAAACUCCUCAGUUUUGGUUAAUUAAAAAUAAAAUUGCUUUGUUAUAAAGCAGCAAUCAUGACUCCGUGCAAAGGCAGCUAUUUAUGGGACACCAAUCAUUUGCCCUAAAUGACUUAAGGUGACUUUCACUUCUUUGUUUUCGUGAUCGGUAAUGUGAUUGAGUUAGAGUAAAGGGUAAAUGCACCCAAGACAGACCAAUGGCAUGAAUCCUGAACAUCUGAAAGGAAGGAAACACUGGACGAGGAUACCACUGGUAGUCCUGGGAGUAGGAGAUGCAGGGAGGAAACACUGCAUCCUAAUUUGGUCAAAGGACUUCUGUCUUCCCUGGAAUCACCCUCCACGACAGAAGAGCCUUCAUGCCCAUCGGGAUCCCUACUAACACACGCCACUGAGCGCAGCCCUGCACUAAGGGAACUGCUGAUAAAUGGCACAGUGAGCUGAGGUCA